UGAAACGACUGCUAAGACUGGAUAGGAAGAUAAAAGGCAUCUUUUAUCUUUUAAAAGACCUAGUAAUAGGUAUGCUUUAGGAGGGGCUUGCGCCAUAUUAGUUAGUUGGUAGGGUAAUGGCCUACCAAGACGAUGAUGUGUAGCUGGACUGAGAGGUUGAACAGCCACAUUGGGACUGAGACACGGCCCAAACUCCUACGGGAGGCAGCAGUAGGGAAUUUUCGGCAAUGGAGGAAACUCUGACCGAGCAACGCCGCGUGAAUGACGAAGUACUUCGGUAUGUAAAGUUCUUUUAUCAAGGAAGAAAAGCAAAUGGCGAACCAUUUGUUUGCCGGUACUUGAUGAAUAAGCCCCGGCUAAUUAUGUGCCAGCAGCCGCGGUAAGACAUAAGGGGCAAGUGUUAUCCGGAAUUAUUGGGCGUAAAGGGUGCGUAGGCGGUCUAGUAAGUCAGUGGUGUAAUGGCAACGCUUAACGUUGUCCGGCUAUUGAAACUGCUAAACUUGAGUUAGAUAGAGGCGAGUGGAAUUCCAUGUGUAGCGGUAAAAUGCGUAAAUAUAUGGAGGAACACCAGAGGCGUAGGCGGCUCGCUGGGUCUUAACUGACGCUGAGGCACGAAAGCGUGGGGAGCAAACAGGAUUAGAUACCCUGGUAGUCCACGCCGUAAACGAUGAGUACUAAGUGUCGGGUUAAACCGGUACUGAAGUUAACACAUUAAGUACUCCGCCUGAGUAGUACGUACGCAAGUAUGAAACUUAAAGGAAUUGACGGGACUCCGCACAAGCGGUGGAUCAUGUUGUUUAAUUCGAAGAUACCCGAAAAACCUUACCAGGUCUUGACAUGUUUUUGCAAAAUGAUAGUAAUAUCGUGGAGGUUACCAGAAACACAGGUGGUGCAUGGUUGUCGUCAGCUCGUGUCGUGAGAUGUUAGGUUAAGUCCUAAAACGAGCGAAACCCUUAUCGUUAGUUGCCAGCACGUUAUGGUGGGGACUUUAACGAGACUGCCAAUGAUAAAUUGGAGGAAGGUGAGGAUCACGUCAAAUCAGCAUGCCCCUUAUGACCUGGGCUACAAACGUGAUACAAUGGCUGUUACAAAGGGUAGCUGAAACGCAAGUUCUUGGCCAAUCCCCAAAAACAGUCCCAGUCCGGAUUGAAGUCUGCAACUCGACUUCAUGAAGUUGGAAUCGCUAGUAAUCGCGAAUCAGCAUGUCGCGGUGAAUACGUUCUCGGGGUUUGUACACACCGCCCGUCA
rnacentral:rRNA from 1 species